rnacentral:rRNA from 1 species
GACAGAGGGGGCAAGCGUUGCUCGGAAUCACUGGGCGUAAAGGGCGCGUAGGCGGGAUGGCAAGUCAGUCGUGAAAUCUCUCGGCUCAACCGAGAAACGUCGGCUGAUACUGCCGUUCUUGAGGGAUGCAGAGGAGACUGGAAUUCCCGGUGUAGCGGUGAAAUGUGUAGAGAUCGGGAGGAACACCGGUGGCGAAGGCGGGUCUCUGGACCACAACUGACGCUGAGGCGCGAAAGCUAGGGGAGCAAACAGG